AGGUGUCUAGAAAGAAAUACAUGGAAUCAUGAAUCAUCUCUUAACUCCAACUAGCAGGAUCACAGGAAAAUGAGCUGAAUCUGGUCAAGAAGAAACCUAGAGUGGCAAGCAGGAACUAGAAUUAAGAGCUGCAAGAAAUAGGGAGGGGAGCAGUGACAGGAACAUGGCCACGCCUGAGAGAUAAGGCUGGGCCCUUUACAGGGGCACAGAAUGAGUCAGGAAAUAUGAGCAUUUUGUAUUUCCAAGAAGAAAAAAACCUCCCCAGGUAUAAGGACGUCCUGAGGACCAUGUGACAAACUGAAAUAUGUGAGGGCAGAGAAGGUGGAGACGUCUCAUUCCACAGAGCAGAAAUGUGACUGCCCAAGUUAAAGGGAUAAGGAAACCAUAUCAGGUAAACCAGGUCUCAUAACAUUAAACUUAUUUAUAUUAUUAUUAACUAUUCUUAGUUCAAAUCCCUUUUCAGCUCAAUCCUCAUUUUGAAUGAAGCUGAUUUAUCCUGCAAUGUGUCUGUACCUUUUUCUCUUCCUAGGAUUGGCUUUCAUCAUGGGAAUAAUAGAUGAUUGUGGCAGCAUACGUGUUGGUUUUAUUCCUAUAUAUCACUUCCUUUACGUACUAUAUGUGUAGUAACAUUUAAUGACUUUCAUUUGGAGGUAUAAAUGAUUGAGUUAAUAUAUAUAUGGUUUAAACCUCUAUUGACAGUAUUUAGAAAAUAUCAGGUAUCCAUUCUCUGUAAAUAAUUGCUUCUCUCAUAUGAUAAGGAAACAAUAAAAUUUUGUUCUAGACAAAAUAAUCUCUAUAAUUUUAAUAUCUAAUGAUACAGAAGAACAUUAAGAUAAUGUGGAAUAUUUAAUCAGCUGAACUGCAUAUCAUUUAUUUAAGAAUAAUGAGGAUCAUUGAUAUGUUUCUAAAUCUAAUAUAAGAACAAAAACCAAAGCAUUAAAUAAAUAGUGGCAGAAGAUCAGGGUCAAUUUGUUAAAUGUAGCUUACCUUCAGAUCCACUGUUUUCUUUUAUUUAGUAAAAAUUUAAAUACUCUUCUUCAGUAUUUUUCAUCCUGUCAUUGACUCUAUUUUCAAAGCACUUUCCGAUAACUAUCAUGAUUGUUAAAUUUAAAACCAAGAAUUUUGCAUGUGUCAAUCACUUUCUGCAUUUCCUUAUUUGCGGUUUAUUCUGUUCCCAAUGGCCAUGUUCGGUAGAACUCAUGAAGAAUUUCUGGCUCUUUUAAUGAAAAUUUUCUGAAAGCAUAUAUUAUUCAUAGUUGUAAAAUGCUGUGCGUAUGUUUAAUAGUACUGGAUAUUAUAGUUAAAAUCAUCUGGAUUCAGAAUUUCUGCAUAACACACUAAAAUACUAAAUAUAAA